AGUAGAGACAGGGUUUCACCAUGUUGGCCA
rnacentral:piRNA from 1 species